ACCAGUGGUAGUCAGCUGUCCAGUGCUUGCCAUGCCUGUGAUUGCGUUACACUGCUGGGAGAAUAAAGCACUACAGCCUCAUGCUGGUGGUCACUGUCACUGUUCUGGUGACAUGUCGCACUGGUAUUUAGUAGUGGUGGAAUUCCUUGAGAGUGCGCCAUACAAGCCCUUGUUUGGUGCUAGUCUGGAAUUGUACAGC